rnacentral:rRNA from 1 species
GCUUGACUGUAGCUUGUAAUUGGGUUCGGGCUUUUUUUGCGCAGCCUAGGUGGGAGGCAACGAUGAUUUUUUUCCGGAAAAUUUGAGCCGUUAGUGAGAGACCACUCUGAAAAGGCUAGAAUCCUAAUAAUGAUCCUUGAAUCAGGACAUUUGACAGUUGCAGGUGGGCAGUUUUACUGGGGCGGUAUUCUCCUAAAAAGUAACGGAGGGGUGCAAAGGUUCCCUCAAGCUGGACGGAAAUCAGCUUAAGAGUGUAAAGGCAAAAGGGAGCUUGACUGCAAGACCUACAAGUCGAGCAGGGGCGAAAGCCGGCCUUAGUGAUCCGACGGUACCACGUGGAAGGGCCGUCGCUCAACGGAUAAAAGUUA